rnacentral:tRNA from 1 species
GGUAAAUUUAGUUUAAUGGUCAAAUGACGUUUUGUGGCGACGAUGUUAAGAGUUCGAUUCUCUUAUUUUACC